rnacentral:misc_RNA from 1 species
GAAAUUUAAUUGUUCAAAACUUAGAGCUUUGAAACUACAUGUAAAAAAAAAUUCUUAAUAGCCAUAACAAUCAUAAACAUGAUAUGAAUCAUAAACAUAAAAUUCAACUAUUAUCUUAUUAAUAGAUCUUGAAUAAAUAAAUUCUCACAGAUUUAGAAAAUGUAUUUGAUGCGAAGUUUAAUUGAACUAUAGUGAUAAUUGAGAGAGACCCUUUGAUUUAAUAAACUGAUUUCUCCCUUUUGACAUUUUUUGAUUCACAUACAAAACUUUAGUUAUGAAAAACUUUCUUGAGAUGACCAUAAUAUCUUUGAUUUUAUGAAAGAUAAUGUGCAUGUCCUUAUGAGUGGAGAAAGGACCAGCUUAUAUAUAUAUAUAUGCAUGAUUAAAAUUUACUUUAAUUAAAGUAAUCCUUGUAUAAUUAGGAUCUGUAUUAAUUAAAGUAAAUGUCAAUUAAUAUCGAACCACAUUAAAGAAAUUGAUUUUGACCCAAAUGAUAAUAUUAAUUACAAGGCAAAAAAAUCUUAUAGCUUCCACCAUUAGAAAGCUAUAAUUGGAUUCUAAGGAAUAGAAACUCCAUCAAAUCUCAAUAUAAAAAUAUUUCUUUCAUAUUUUUUUAAAUCCUAUUCUUCAUCAUUCAAUUGUUUUUUUUUUAUAUAAAUC